rnacentral:lncRNA from 1 species
CACAGACCAGGCAGGAAGAGCCAAUUCAGGUCACCCUCAGAAACGGCUCAGGGCUCAGGCUGCCCAGGCCCUGAGGGGAAGCCUCCUCGGGGUGUUGCUGAGUGUCAAGGCCCCCACUCCACCCCUGUGGUUUAUCUGUUUCAGAAAGACCCCAUGGUGAGGGGAUAUGGGCUGAACAGAGGCCCUACCCCAGCUGGAGAGACGGCAGGUCUAUUCAAGAGCCUGGGAAUCGGGUCGGACAGCUUGGGUGUUGACAUCGGUGCUGCCGCCACUUGGGCUGUGUGACCUCAGGCAGGUUGCCUGCUCUGUCUGAGCCCCGGCGUUCUCUUCUGUCCAGUGAGGACCCCUUGCAUGGGGGUGUGGGAUUCCAUGGGACAUGGAGGGGGCAGUGCCCUGCAGAGGGGCUGGCAUUGAGGUCAGGAAACAGAGUUUAGGGGCAGGGUGGGGAGUAUGUCACAUGACUCCAGGAUGAACGCCGACAGCAAGGGAAGCGGGACUGGGUCUUGCUCUGUCAUCCAGGCUGGAGUACUUUGGUGCGAUCAUAGCUCACUGUAACCUUGACCUCCUGGGCUCAACGAUCCUCCUGCUUUGGCCUCGUAAAGCACUGGGAUUCCAGAUGCUGUUACCUGGGAGAGUUCAGAGCCAGAGACCUGCUUGCUGUUUGCUAAAAGGUCAGAACAG